rnacentral:rRNA from 1 species
GGAGGAAUAUUGGGCAAUGGACGAAAGUCUGACCCAGCAACGCCGCGUGAAGGAUGAAGGCCUUCGGGUCGUAAACUUCUUUUGAGGGAGACGAGAAAGGACGGUAUCCCUCGAAUAAGCCACGGCUAACUACGUGCCAGCAGCCGCGGUAAAACGUAGGUGGCGAGCGUUAUCCGGAUUCAUUGGGCGUAAAGAGCUUGUAGGUGGUGCGAUAAGUUGGACGUGAAAACUCCGGGCUUAACUUGGAGAGGCCGUUCAAUACUGUUGUGCUAGAGGGCGUCAGAGGGAAGUGGAAUUCCUGGUGUAGCAGUGAGAUGCGUAGAUAUCAGGAGGAACAUCCGUGGCGAAGGCGGCUUCCUGGGGCGCACCUGACACUGAGAAGCGAAAGCUAGGGGAGCAAACGGGAUUAGAAACCCCGGUAGUCCUAGCUGUAAACGAUGGAUGCUAGGUGUGAGUGGAUCUAACCCGCUCGUGCCGAAGCUAACGCGUUAAGCAUCCCGCCUGGGAACUACGAGCGCAAGCUUAAAACUUAAAUGAAUUGACGGGGUCAUAGCUGUUUCCU